GUCGGGAGUCGGCUAAUACAAGACCCUUCGGGGGAAUAUGCCGGCACUGGUUGUUGGUGUUCUUAGCUCCCGACGCCUUUUG
rnacentral:ncRNA from 1 species